UAAAAUAAAAUUUGAACACAACAUUACUGCAGUAUAUAAUAUAUUCACAUUUUAUGUACAAUUAGUUAAGCUACCAGCACCACACAUCAGCAAAAACGUCUGACAGUUUCAUUUAGCCCAAAAGAUAAUGUUAGCUUAG